UCUACCACCCCUGUACUAUUUUCUUCUUCUUCUUUCCGGCAAAAACACGACCCAACUCAUGAAACCAAGAAAAAAUCAAAACCCAAAUACCCCAGAGAACCUUCAACACGAUCCCUCUCUAGCGGUCGUCCUCUCCUCUCGUACGAAUUUUUUCAAAGAAUCUUACAGGUGUCUCCAUCCCCUCGCUCCUUCAUCCUUGCUCCUUGAAUCGGACGGACUUCGUGCUAAAUCCAUUGGGAAUUUUUCCUCAUUUGAGUUGGCAACCUUAUCCUCAAAGGAUUCCGAAUUUAAAAUUUUGAAUUUCAUCCGAAAAAGCUCACAUGUUUCCCCCAAAAUCAGUGCCCAUCUCAUUCUAUAAAAGUUCUCUUUAUUCUUCAUUGGAAGUGUUGGAAACAAUAUAUUUGGAAAAAGAUUGGGAAAAAUCUGAGCGAGUAUACAAAGUUAGACACGAUGUUACAGAAAAUGAUAAAGAUUUGGAGAUAGAAAUAGACCCAAAAAACAAAUCAGUGAAACAGGAGAUACUUAAGUUUUCGGUUUUACUUUGAACUCAAGUUCUUGUCAUCUUCUCGUAGUCUCAAGUUGGUUGUGGAAUUGUCUCCAACAGUUAGAGUCUCAGUUUGCUACUUCGGAAAAGUUAACCAUAAACUCUUAUCUUUCUGCUGCAUUCGGAGAGAGAGCCUGAGAGUAGAGAGUAGAGAGAAGAUUGUUAGAUGAAGGAUUGAUGAUUUUAUUUAUGAGGGGAAACCCUCUAUUUAUACACAAAAUUUACAGACUUUUGGCCAAACCUGGCCGACACAUACUUUACACUUGGCCUUUUUAUAUUCGGCCGACACAAGAAAACAAAAUACUUACUAUUACUACUUUACAUAAUAGCCUCUUCUUUAUUUAUGGCCGACAUAAAAGAGUAUUUGUAUUUUGUAUUUUGUUAAAAUUUUGUGUCGGCUGAAUAUCAGCCAUAUGUAGAAAGUAAUAAUUUUUAUUUUUGUCGUGUUGUGUCGGCUGUAAAGAAC